rnacentral:rRNA from 1 species
CAAAAACAUCGCCUCUUGACAAAACAUAAGAGGUCCAGCCUGCCCAGUGACAAAGUUCAACGGCCGCGGUACCCUAACCGUGCGAAGGUAGCAUAAUCACUUGUUCUUUAAAUGAGGACUCGUAUCAACGGCACUACGAGGGCUAUACUGUCUCCUUUUUCUAAUCAGUGAAACUGAUCUCCCCGUGAAGAAGCGGGGAUUAAAAUAUAAGACGAGAAGACCCCAUGGAGCUUUAAACUCACCAUGCACCUCUGUGCUCUUAUACCCUUAGACACACCAGACCUGCAUGCUAGUUUUAGGUUGGGGUGACCACGGAGUAUAACUUAACCUCCAUAGCAAAUGGGCUAAUACCCUUAUCCAAGAGACACAACUCUAAGAAUUAUUAAACUAAUGCUUACGACCCGAUAUUCGAUCAAUGAACCAAGUUACCCUGGGGAUAACAGCGCAAUCUACUUCAAGAGCCCCUAUCGACAAGUAGGUUUACGACCUCGAUGUUGGAUCAGGGUAUCCUGGUGGUGCAGCCGCUACCAACGGUUCGUUUGUUCAACGAUUAAAACCCUACGUGAU